rnacentral:lncRNA from 1 species
UUUUUAUUUCAAAAAAUCAAAAUCCGUUAAUAAAAUACUUGUUUUGCUUUACAACUUUAAUUUAUGGGUCUAUUAGAUAUAACCCCCUUAAACAUUCAAAUAAUAGGGGUAGACCCAAAUUUAAAUUUGCCAUUUUGAUAAAAGCCCAAACUUUUCGUAAUUACAUAAUUACCCUCAAUCAAAUCCCACAAAUCCCGUUACUUUACCUUUUGAAAUAAUAUCAAAUCCCUUCCUAUUUUCUCGUUAACACACUAUCACCCCAAAACCCACGAUCAAAUAAACUGCAAAAACCUCCCAGAACCACUUCCCGGUACGGCCGAUCGAAAGGGGAAGAAAUCUGCACUGCCGUGAAACGACGAUUUUCGUGGACUCCGAGCAAGCCGCUGUAGGUACGUCUUCGCCGGUCGCUGAAUCGCUAUCGUCCAUCGAUUUGUUCAUAUGUUUUGGCUAAAUCGACUAUCACGUUUGUAUAAUUGCAGAUCUGUUAUAAUCGCAUACCGAAUUCGAGCACUAAAUCAUUGAUAUUGCAACAAUUGAUGGGCAGGACAUCCACCAGAAGUGAUAUCGUCGUUGGCCGCCGUCGCCGUCGCCGUCACUGCUCCAAUCUAGGGUUACUCAAAUCUAGGAUUACUCAAAUCUAGGGUUCUGAUAAUUCUUCGGCCCAUAGUUGAUUAAUGAGAUGCUUAGUCGAAUUACAUCUGUAUUAAUAUACUAUCUCAUAUCAUUUAAUAGACUAUCCCACUGGUAUAAUGUUACUAUGGAUCUCGUUAAUCGACUAUGGGCCGAAGAAUCAUCAAAACCCUAGAUUUGAGAAGUGACGGCGGCGGAUUUGUGUUUUAAAAUUAAUAGACUACCUCAUAUCUUUUAAUAGACUAUCUCAUGUAUCUAAUUCGACUAUGGGUUUAGUUAAUUGACUAUUGGAAAUAUAAUAAUAUAUAUGGAAACUGAAUAAUAUGUUUGUUUGAAAUACUAAUCAAUUAGAGUAAUUUUCCUUAUUAUAUGAAAACGAUUAGGGUAAAUAAUAAUAUAUAUGAAAAAAUAAUAAUAUAUAUGGAAACUGAAUAAUAUGUUUGUUUGAAAUACUAAUCAAUUAGGGUAAUUUUCCUGAUAUCAUGUAAUAGACUAUCUUAUUGAUCUAAUUCGACUAUGGAUCUCGUUAAUCGACCAUGGAUCCCGUAUUAUUAAACCACAUAAUAUAUUAAUAAUUUCAAUAUAGUACAUUAAUCUGCUAUGAUAGUAUAUUACGGUUAUAGUAUUGAUAUGAAAUUGUGUUACAAACAAUAUACCACUGAAAUGACAAGAACAUUGAGAACAACACCAAUGUAAAGUAUUCCACAUAACCAAUAAAAUAGUACAUUAAUAAUCUCAUAAUUUCAAUCUAGGGUUUUGAUAAAAUACAUAAAACACAUCAUAACACAAUCAAAUCAAUAUGUCGAGUUAAAAAACUCUAGUACAUUAAUAAUCUCAUAAUAGUAUAAUAAAAUGAUAAUGGUAGUAUCAUAUGGUAUUCAUAAUAGUAUACUACUGUAUUACAACGGUUUAACACUUAACCGAAGUUACCGAGCCAUUACAUCGUAAACACCUCUUUAUAGCACUUAACCGAAGUUACCGAGCCAUUACAUCGUAAACACCUCUUUAUAGCAACCAACCCACCAAACCUCAACAAAAUCCGUACGAAAUUCGCCAUCGAAAAAACCUAAAAUCAUGAAACAAAAUUAAAAAUGCAGAAUACUAAAAAAUGAUUAAAUAGACUGCACAUACAUUUGAAUGAUAAUACAUUAAUAUCAUCAAAAAUAAACUUAAAAUGCAAAAUUCAUACGCUAAAUUAAAAAAAAGACUACGAACUAUAUUUUAAUGUACUACCCAACACACUUAAAUCGGCUGUUAUAAACAAAUAAACCAACUAUCGAUCGGGAUAAAAACAUGAACUCGACCACAGCGGACAAUUAUUCCGAUUAUUGCAUAAACCAACUAAGAAGCUCAUAUAAAACAACUCUGGUCCGAUCUGCGUGAACCAUCCUCUUCUAACUCUGUCAAUCCUCUUCCAAACAAACAUCAUUGGCAAAAAAAAACGAUAUAUAUAUGACGGAAUAAUUUUGUUAAAAAACGUUCUACUUAAUAGAAUCAAGUAUCAACACAACUCUUGAAAAUUUCUAACCACCGUACACGACAAUCAUGGACAUUGAGCAAAAAAAAAAACGAAUAACGCAUUCAUACCCGCUUAACAACGUCCAACAACAAACGCUCAAAAAUCGAUCCUAUUUCCACGACGGUGCAGAAAUCUUCAAAGACGAUAAAACCCGCUGGAACGAUGAAGAGAAUCUUCAAAAAAUAUUGUACACGAUUUGAUAUAACGGCCAAUGAUCUCACGUAAAUUUAUUCCGUGAUUUUAGGCAACGUAUCAGCAAAUCUCAAAUCACGUAUUAAAGGAAAUAAAUGCCGUAUAAUAAUAAAACAGGGGUAUUAAAGGGAAAUUACAUAAUAUAUUUUGCCAAGUUGGCAAAAUUGGGUGUAUCUCAAAAAGGGGAAAAAAAUUGGAUCUACCUCAUUAGAAAAUAUGAACAAGGGGGUUUUCCCUAAUAAACCCUUAAUUUAUUUCCUGCUCCUUUAAUAUUUUCAUCAAUUUUCUGUUUAAAUAUUUCCUAAAUUAUCCCAAAAUUUGCAAAUAAUCUUUUUCAAUUUGAAGUUAUUACAUAUUUUUAUUGUUUCAUGUAUAUAGUAUUAAAAAAAAAUUCGGGGGCGCUGCCCCCGAACCCCCAUAAACUUUACUCAACCAUUAUAUAUUUUUUUAAAUAUUUUUAAUUUCGAACACCCUUGGCAAAAAUCCUGGAUUCGCCACU